AAUGUAAUAUGAUAGAUGACAUGGUUUAUUCUAUUGCUAAAGCAAUUAUUUUGAAGGUUGGAAAGAACUGACAUACUGUCACUGACGAUAAGCCACUUAUUCUGUUUUCUGGCACAUAUGUCUUCUUUUAUAUAUUUCAAGGCAUGCAAUAUAGCAAGUGCUUCUGCUGUGAAAAUGCUGGAUGAAGGUAUGCCAAGAGUCAAUAGCUCUCUAGUGAGAACUUUAUGGUCAACAUUAUUAAAUGCUCCAACAACAUCAAGAAAAACACAGACAAGGAAUCUGUUAUAUGCAAAUGCACUAUGAAUAUCUAAGUAAAGAUUAUUCAUACUUUCAGCAGCAGAAAAACCUCUACGGAAACCAAAUUGAUUUGAAGAUGGUCGAUAAUGGCGUUUGUCUAUUGAGUAACUCACAAAAAGCUGUCCAAGAAGCUUCUCUUUCUUUAUUAAGUAAUAGCUGAACAAGAUGCUAAUGACAGUUGGCAAGAGAUAGCUGCCCAUUGGAUCAUUGUGAACAGACCAGUUGCAACGAAGUGAUAGUGAUGAUGAAACAAUUGUGAGAUCUAAUGCAUUGGGACGCCAAUUGUGGGAACCCACAGUGGUGGCUUGUCCAUCAUUGAGUAUACAAAGAUCACUAUCUUCAAUAAUAUUAUGUAGUGUUGUACCACUACCAUUAUUCGAAGUGCAACCCCACAUCGUAUGAUGAGCAUUAAAAUCACCUGCCAAUAGCAAGGGCUUUGGAAGAGAAUCAAUCAAAUGAUUGAUAUGUGUAUAAGUAAAAUUUUGCGAGGCAGCUGAAGUAGGACUAUAGAAGCUAACAAUAGAGAUUUCUUCAUUGUUGAACUGUAAUCUAAUAGCUAUUUUCUGCAAAGAAUCAUCAUGUAAUGUAUUUAAUCUAAUAUAGUUUAAAUUAUUUUUUAUAAGUAUAGCAACACCAUUAUGGUUGCUACCAAUAUCUAAUCUUUCUAUUUUGUAACCUUUGUAAUUUAUUUUUAUUUCGGGUUUUAACUAUGUUACAGAAAUUAAAGCAAUAUGUAUAUCAUUAUUGUAAAGGAAAUAUGUAAAAGCAUGUUUAUUGCUAGAUAGACUUUGAGCAUUCCACUGAAUUAUGUUCAAGUGGUCCAUAAAAAAAUUAAGUGGUUUUAAGUUUAUUUCUGUUUUUGUUUGUACUGAAAGUAUCUAAUAGAAUGCUUUUGAUGCCUGCAGAAGUAACGGACGUUUCGUCAGACUUGUUGAGAGAUAUUAUUUUGAUAAUAGAAGAAAUAAGUAAGUUUACAAAGUCAUCGCACUGUAGGAGGUUUUUUAUAUUAUCAGUUGGUUUAGACUUGUUUAAUGUUGGAAAAGACUUCUCAUUGAAUAAAUCGGCGUAUGCAACUUUUUGGUA